rnacentral:rRNA from 1 species
GUAGGUGGCAAGCGUUGUCCGGGAAUUAUUGGGGCGUAAAGCGCGCGCAGGCGGUUCUUUAAGUCUGAUGUGAAAGCCCACGGCUCAACCGUGGAGGGUCAUUGGAAACUGGAGAACUUGAGUACAGAAGAGGAAAGCGGAAUUCCACGUGUAGCGGUGAAAUGCGUAGAGAUGUGGAGGAACACCAGUGGCGAAGGCGGCUUUCUGGUCUGUAACUGACGCUGAGGCGCGAAAGCGUGGGGAGCAAACAGGAUUAGAUACCCUGGUAGUCCACGCCGUAAACGAUGAGUGCUAAGUGUUAGGGGGUUUCCGCCCCCUUAGUGCUGCAGCUAACGCAUUAAGCACUCCGCCUGGGGAGUACGGCCGCAAAGGCUG